GUCCCCGUAGCUCAACGGAUAGAGUACUGGCCUCCGGAGCCAGAGGUGCAGGUUCGAUUCCUGCCGGGGACG
rnacentral:tRNA from 1 species